CGGAAGUCGCCGUGCGCGCCCCGUGCUCUUACAGGAAGAAAAAGAAGAAGAAGAAGAAGAGGGAAAAAAAAAAUGUUCCAGCAGGAGGAAGAAGAAGAAGAAAAAGAAAAAGAGAAAAAAAAAAUUGCUCCUGUAGGAAGAAGAAGAAGAAGAAGAGCCCGCCUGGCGGUGCUCCGGCCGUCGCUUUUUUUUUCGGCAAAAAAAAAAAAAGAACGAGAGAACGAAGAGGAGAGAGAAAGAGGAAAGAGAAAAAGUAAUAAGGGUAUUUUGAUCAGUUUGCUAAAAAAGUGGACCGAAUUUGCAAAAACGAAAAAGGUGGCCCGGUUUUGCAAAAGCCCAAAAUAAGUGAAUUUUUUAUGCAAAUUGGCCUUUAAACAAUGAGUUAUAUUACGCUUUUAAAAUUUAUAUACAUAUGUUUUGCAUUUAAAAAAUAUAAGAAAAAAAAAAUUUAUGGGUAAACCGCAUACCCAGCUGCCCACCCGCGAGUGGGUAUGGGUAAAGAUAUUGACUAUCCAAAAAUUUGCGGGUAAAUUUUAUCAAUGCCCAAGUAAUCCGCAGGUACAAUAACCUGUCCGCGUCCGCUUCCGUUAAACUUCCACUAAUAAUCUUAUUAUUUUUUAAACUUGAAAUUUUUUAAAAUAAUUAUUAACUUAAGACGAGAUUGGAAGAGGGGGAUUGCAGGAUUAUUAUAAUUUUAUUUUACAUCUUACUCGCAGAUUUAAUAUUUCUCAAUUUAUUUAUGGUCAGCAGCCAAUUGUCAGGAAUCACAUGUCAUCUGAUUCCUCCGGUGCUUAGUUCGCAGAUACUUUCUUCCCUUGGCCGCGAGAUUGGGUCCCAAAAAAAUUUAACAAAAAAAAAAAAGAAAUUGUUUGAUUUGCACGGCAAAGUCCACAUAACAUAACAAGUUAACAACCCCAUAAAAAUUAAAAAAAAAAUUUAAAAAAUCUUACCAUUUUGUGCUCCCACCAACCACUAACCAAACACAAGCUUCUCCUCUUUCUCCUCCUCCUCCUCCUCCUCUCACCAGAUCUCAACUCUACUAUUUUGCUCAAUCUCUCUCUCUCUCUCUACCUCUGUCCAUGUCUAAGAUAUACUCUCCUUCAGAGGUCUCCCUCCACACCUCAAAAAAAGAUUGCUGGUUGAUCAUCCAUGGCAAGGUCUGAAUUUAUUCCCCCUUUGUCUUUACCUGUGAGAUCAAUGAUUCUUGCUCCUCUUGCUGUUUUUAUUUUUGGGUUAACAUAUCAUUUCAGGUUUAUGAUGUGACCAAUUUCUUAGAGGAUCAUCCAGGAGGGGAGGAUGCUCUCCUCCAUGCUUCAGGUUUUUCAUCCUUCUCCCCACCUCCCUUCAAAUAACAAUCAAAAUAAACUAAUAUAAUCAAAAUAAAUCAUGCGAUAAAUAUAAAAAAUGUUUAAACACCGUACUCUAUCAAUUUAAGCUUUUAAAAUAUAACGAUUGUUUCACAUAGUAUUGAAACAGAAGAUUCUGAGUUCGAAUUACGUCAUGCUCCUAAUAUUAUCAAUUUUUUCUUAUUUAAUUCAAAUCUACGUCAUGGGCGUACGAAAAGUUUCAAGUUCAGACAUGAAAAGGAGUGUCAAAUAUAAAAAUAUUUAAAUAUUAUUUUUUAUUAAUUUAAACUUUUAGAGUGUAACGGUUGUUUCACAUUAUGUAAAGUGUAAAUUUAGUUCGUUCCAAUUCUAUGUGAAGCUUCCGGGGAUGCCACGGAGUCAUUCGAGGACGUGGGCCACAGCUCGUCGGCGACGAGCAUGAUGGAGAGCUACCUCAUCGGCUCCAUUGAGGGCUACGUGAAGGCGGAUAAGGCUCCGGCGGCGCAAAAUAGCACUCAGAAAGCUGCUGCUGCUGCUGCUGCUUCUCCGUCAUCAUCAAGCUUCUUGGACUUCCUCCUUCCCCUAAUCGUCCUCGCCUUCGCAUUUGCAGCCUGGUACUAUCUCACCUUUCAGGCCAAGGCCAAAACAGGGCAUCAAGAACUCUGAAUGGUUUCAAAAGGUGGGAUGCGUACUAUAGGAUAAUAAGAAUGCACAAUAGCUAUCAACUCUCACUCAGUCUUGAUGUGAAAUUUGCAAAAAUAGAUCAGUGAGUAUAAUUCGGCAGAUCGUCAAUCGGUCGCACGCGAAUCAUACUUUGAGCGAAAUUCCUGGCUUGGUUUUACAGUAGGUGCACUAGACCUGUUCCUGUUACAAGCAUUUCCUAAUCUGUGUGGUAAAAACGUAGUGUCAUGCUCAUUGUCAAAAGCUACAAGAGUGACUCUUGGGAGAUACAAUUCAAUUGAGUGGUCCAUCUUAAAAUCAAACUAAUGUUAUUGAAUGCAAGAUUUGAGAGGGAUCAAUUUCGUUUUUUAUUUUUAUUGUUUUUCCUUCGAUCUGAGGCCCUGGUUGCCUCACUUUGUGGCUGAAUUCAUUUUCGUAAUGAAUGGAGCGGUAGCAUGCUACCUUUCUCAAAAAAAAAAAAGAAGAAGAUUACACCAGCAAUUAUCUUGCAGGAUUUUGAGAUUUUGUGAUUCUCUGUUUGCGCUCGCUGAUCAUUUGCGUUACAGCUUCUGUUCGAGAAGCGAAAGCUUGAUAUUGGGCAAACUCAUAGUCAAAAAGCUUCUCAUUAUAGUACGAAGCUAGUAUGAGCUUUUGAGAUCCAACAGCAAAAGCUCCAAUUUGAUGUACAAAGGUUGAGAGCGAGUAUGCUCGUUUGAUCUGCUAAAGCUUGUGUAGAAGUGCUAUUCGUAUAGAAGAAUUAUACGCGUUAAUAAUCUUUUUAUUCGAAUCCCACUCAAAAGCUAACUCGGAACGAAAAAAAUAAUGAAAUUCCGUCUCCAAAAGCUACUGCUUUUACUCCGUUACAGUAAAAGAUUACAGCUGCAGGCAGAAGCAAAAGCUAGGCCAGUAGAGUCAUUUUCCAAGAUUCAUAAUGUUUUGAGGUGGGUCCGCCCGUAGCAUUGAAAGAAAAAAAAAAUUGAUAUCUCAUAUUUGUUGAGGUAUUAAAAAAAUUCAAUUGGGAUCGGUGUUCAACGUGAUAAAGCAUUUGUUUCUCUUCGAGCCAAAGAAUCAUAAGACCCAAAUUUUCAUUCAGAAAUCAACACAAUAAUGUCCUAUUACAAGGUGAGCUGAUUUAAAUUACCGUUCAUACUGCUUUAAGAUUCAAAUGGUGCACGUGAUGGACAGUAAGGUUAGAUAGGGUCAUUUCAGGUGCCUAGGAGGAUUGCUAUUCAAUUUUAUAUGUUUAAAUAGGCAUAUAAAUGUAUGUGUGUGUAUCUGAAAAUAAUCACCACAAUUCAUCAUUUAAAUAGUACAACUGCAAAAAAAAAAAAAAAAGGAUGAUACUGACAUAAAUGUUUGGUUAUUCCAAAUUGUGGGGUGGAAUGGAUUAAGUUGAGUAGGGAGAAAGGAAAGGAAAGAAAAAUACUCUACCUGCUUGCCUUGUUGAGUUUCUAGACAAACGUUGUUUGAGACUGGGAGAAUUUUCUUCAUGUUUUUAUUCCAACAAGUAAAACGGAGUUUAUGAAAAUCCGAAAAAACAACUAAAUUGGCUCUUUAUAGGGUGUAAUGGUGUUAAUGGAAAUACUAGUUUGAAUAGUACUAUUUAAAAUUUUAUUAUAUUAAAAGCUUUGCUUUGGGCCUCAGCAUCUCAUUUUAGUUCCGGCGGCAAUUUAUAUAUAUAUAUAUAUAUAAAUAUAAUAUUGUUAAAAUACUUAAUAAAGAUGGCUGUAGUCGAAAGCAAAACUAAAGAAACAACCAAACAAAUAAUACUUAUUAGAUUUGUACAAAACUAUCCAAUCACAAUAAAGGAACAGAACUUGGAAAGUUUCAUAUUGGUUGUCUAACUUAAUGGAACCUUCAUUACAUUUCAUUUUCUUGAAUAGAAAAAGUUUUAGAUUUUUACUUGCUAAAUGUCAUAAUCUGUCCCAAUACUGUUUUGUCACUUGAAAUUAUCCAUGCACGGUGCGUUUGAAAAUAUCAAAGUAGUCCGUAAAACUUAAUAAAUGAUGGAAUAGAGAGAAAAUGGAGUUGUUUUGAACAGAGCACUUUGAAUUAUCCAUAAAUUCUUUAGGAAACACAAAUUACACAUCCUUCCAACAUUUGGUCAUGAUACUGACUAUUUUGCUGAAAUUUCUCAAUAUGCACAAAAAUGAUCCAAAUUAUUUUUCCUUUCUAGCAUUAUCAUAAAUAGCAUGCAAAGGUUACAAAGUCAACAGAUGUGCCAAUAAAAUAAAAUGAGAGGAGGAAUAAGUACAGAAGCAAACUCUUCCAUAGGAACAUACAUAAUUUUCUCUUCUUAAUAAGAUACUAUUUAUGUAUAGUUGUGCUAACAUAUAAUACUAAAAGUGACAAAUUCAAAUCAAUUUUUUAAAGCAAUAAAUAAAUCCUCUAAACUCAUAUAAUAUAUAUGUAUCCAGCUGUUGUUGAUACUGAUAGGUACAAUGAAAAGUCAUGACAUAUCUUAACCAAAUUGCCUACCCCUCAAAAAACCUGCUCUCACUUCCAAGGCUCACCACCUCAAUUCUCAAUUAAUUUUAUAAAAGAUCCAACCAAAUCACAACCUACUAAGCUUUGUUUAUCUCACAAUUGACCAAUUCAAGUCAACCCUCAUGUUUUUUUCUUAUAUCAUGCUAAUAAAAUCAUCGCGCGAAAUGUUUUGUCGUAGCAAAUCCAAAACCUCCCCCUCUACUCCCCUCCUCUCCACAAAACCAUGGAGGGGUUGAUUCCUUUAGUCUACAAAGCGAUCAAGAGAAGGAACACGACGAAGCACUACCGGUCUCUCUCGACAGGAGGCGCACUGAUGAACGAAAGCGAGCUCAGCUUCAAUGAUCGAGCGUUCGUGGCAGCGUCUUCUGAGAACCAGAAGGCGGUGUUCGAGAUGAACGACUACCACAUCUUCAUGACUCCUCAAGGAGAGAAGCUUGAAGACUCUAGUAAUGGAAAAGGCGACGGCCGACAAAAGCAAGGGCCAAUGCAGGCGCUUCCUCGCGAGACCUUCUCUCCGGUGAAACAGGUCGAGCCAGUAGGGAAGGGUGGUUAUCGCGGCAGGAGUAAGUCAGUAGCAUAAUAGAACUGUCUGUGCUUGUGUUUGUUGAUGAGAGAUGUGAGAAGAUGCUUGUUUGGAAGUGAAGGGGAUCUAGAAUAAUUUUGCAAAUGAUGUAUAAUUGUUUCUGCACAAAAUUUUUCAGAAAGGAGUAAGACUUUAUUGGCGUACUGCCUGCAGCUUGUGUAAUUAAAUAAUUUUGUGGUGUCGUACGUAUGAAUUUGAUUCUUGAGUAAACUGCUGUAGAACUGAAACAACUACUAGUUGGAGGGGUUGAAUGGAUGACUCAAUUCAGGGAAGAGGGAAAGAGUGAAAGGAGGAAUCGAAGAUCGCUGCAGGUCAUGAAAAAUUUUGUAAAAAAAUUGAUCACCAAAAAAAUUAUCCUUAUUUCCAUCUGACAUCAAGGUUUGCAUAUGUACCACAUCCAUGAAAUUUGCAUCCUGAACUCGUACCAAAACAGUAUAUUCAUGCAAUUAAGGGUUUAAAGUUUAUUGUAGACCAAAAGGUCUGUACAAUUGUCGUGUGCAAUGCACGAUGUUUUCCUUUUCCUUCUAUUUUUAUGGGAGUAGAUGGACUCAUGAAAUACAGUAUAAUUUGGAUGGUAAUUGAUUACGGAAUAGAGAAGGAACCCCUUUUCUCUGGAUAGUGAUUCAUUAGGGGAAAGCAGUUUCAUGGAAUAGAUUGGGAUUUUAUACAAAUCCCAUAGAGAGCGCAUAAUAAUCGCAGCUGCUCCCUAACCAAACACACUAACUCCAGCAUUCAAGAAUCAAAAGUAUCUACCCCAGAAUAUAGGAUCCUCCAACCAAACGAUACCGCAAGCUAAUGAUUGCGUUAUUACUGAAUGCUUGCUGAAUUCUUCUCAGUAAGCAUUCAGCAUUCAGCAUUCAGCAUUUAUCCAACCGUUUGCUCAGCAUUCUUACUCAUCCGAUGCGUUUUUGUUUCUGGGAUGGCUAAAAGAUCAGAUGCUUGCUGACGCACGAAUUUGUUUCAAGCAUGCAGGUAACAACAGAGAAUAAACAGUAACGACAUAAAUGACAAAAGAAUGGAAUCACUGAUCAUUUCACCCCAAAUAGAAUCCUUUCAUAGCCACUAUUAUUUUCUUGAAAGCUCUAAUCUCUACAUGUUACAAAAUCCUGCUUUCUCGCAGGGCUGUUUCUCUUCACCCUAUUUAGUAAUAUACUCUGUGUGCCGCCAUCUAGUGUGAACUAAGCCUCUCAGAGCUUAAGAGGAAAAUUUCCAAAUCCAUACCGUGUAAGAACCCAAGAGGAAGGGUUCACUGUUAAAAGGGAGGAGGGACUCACCACUUUCCCCUCCGUUGGUGUAUAGAUGUACAAAUCCUUUUUAGCAAAAAUAUAAGUAUCUUCUCUUGACUCCUUUAUCAUGACCAAGUAUACGGUGUGAAGGAUGAGAGUAUGUAUGCUGGGUUACAAUGUGGGUAGUCAGGCCGAGAGACGAAGUGCUAUUUGCUGGAGAAGUAAUCUCUUUUGAGAAGCAUUUAUGAGACCAUUGCAUUCUGCAUUCACAAGGACAUCACUCAUGAUUGCAGCCGCAUGCCCAGUGGGCUCAUCAGAUGCCCUCCUCAGCAUAAACAUCUGCUUCCAUGCCGAGGUAGAAAAAAAAAAAUGGUAGUGUAUCAGUUGUAAAAGAUAUUAGAAGUGAAACUGCAAUUACCAAAGCCUAUUCAUCCAACAUCAGAAAGGAGAUUUUUUUUAAAAAAAAAAAUUAUCUUAGAACAAAGACUCAGCGUCAUUGUGCAUGUCUGCAAAGAAAAGGUGUGUGAACAGCAUGAUAUAGAUUUUGAGAAAGGGAGCAAGUACCUGUCCAUGAUGAGUUAUUUCUAGGCAGCCAGGUUGCUGGAUCCAUGGUUCACCAUCGAUCUGAACUGGGAAGGGACUGUGUAUGUGUAGUCUUACAACUUUUCCUUGAGCCAGCCUUUGAGCCUGUGAAAGUCCUACCUGUUGACCACAGAUUAAAGACAUCAACACCAACAACUCUGAGGCCUCCUGAAUUUAUGGAUCAUAUCCAUAAUCCUCUUUGUUUUAUGCACCUUCUUAAACUAGGUGAAAUUUAACAACUGCAAGUGAGAACAAUAAAUACUAUCCUGAAAAAGGAAAAUAAAAGAAAGGAAAAAAUGUACCUGAAGUUUUCCAAGAUGCCAUGUUCCAGAUAUGCAAACCACUUCAAGUGUUUUAUCAUGCAUUGAUUGCAGAUCAAAGUCGUCAUCGUGAUCAUAGUCAUUUUGCCAAAGAUCAACACCUCCCAUGUAGCUCCCAAUAUUUAGGACAAGCACGCCUUCAGCAUUCUGGAGUGAAUUUAUCAGAUUAAUAGAGAAACCCUUACACCAAAAAAGCUCUGGCAAAUUGAAUCAGGAACAAACAGAAAAGAGUAUGGAUUUACCUCUGGGAUUUCAAUGCUUUUACCAUCAACUUCAAGGCUUACUUGCCAUGGUAAGUCGGCGCAAGUUCUGUCUACAAUAUCCUUGACACCCUCUUUAGCAUAUAACAGUUUGUUGACAAACUGCAUAUUGAAACAACCAGUCAAUCAAAGAAGCGCCCUUAUGAAUACAGUUUAACAAACAACAUGCACCAAGAAAUAAAUAGAACUCAAAUGAGGAUAACUCCUAUAAUCUAGGAUCAGCAUGAUACAGCUUUUGCUAUUCCUUCUAGUUUAGAAAAGUUGUCAGAGGCAAUUAGAGUUUGAAAGUUUUCCCUCAACCCUCUACGGUUAGGCUGUUUCAAACUGCCCUAGGAACCUCUGUCACCGACUCUUCAGUUAUGCGAGGUUAAUUUGCCAAUAAAAAGAAAGUAUGUCUUCAACUCACAAACCUGUGCAGAGGAUGGUGUAUAUGGAAAAAGAGAAUGUACAAAUCGUUAACAAAACGUGCUUUGCCCUUUCAAGCGAGAGGGACAUAUUUAAAUAUACAAAUUUAAUGAAGAAUCUCACAAGUUCUUCAAUAAAAUAAUAAAUAAAAGCUGGAAAAUCAUUCCAAAACUUGCACAACUAGUAAAAGCAGUUGACAGAAAAAGUAAGUGCAAUAUUAAUUCAAUAGCUACAUAGAAACAUAAUUCCUUGGAUGAUUUUUAAUAUAUAAGGUUACCUAUCAUAAACCAGAUAUAGAAAUGCGCACAAGAAAAGAUAUAAAAAAAAUCUUUACCUGGCUGAAGAACUUAUCAGGUCUUUCUUCUCGAGUCAUAUGGAAGUCGUAAGCAACCUUUGCAUCACAACCAACACCUAAAAAGAAGAGAUUGAAGAGAAUAAACAGAUUUAAGUUCAGUAGAAUUUUCAAUUUUCACAAGUCCAGUACAAGAUAGAAGAAGCGGACAGUAAACAAUCCAGCUCACCUAGAUAAUUGGUCAUAAAUUUCACUUGGGUUGUAGUUUGACCUUUCUCUGCGCCACUUUCCUUGAUUGCAACACUCCAGCGAUCAAGCAUUGUAACUGCUGCGCUAUCAAUAUCAUCUAGCAAAGCAUGCAAACCACCUUUUCCUUCAACAGAAGACAAUCCUCCACCCCAUUGUAAAACAUGCGACAAGUCAUUCCCUGUUCCAAGAGGAAGUAUGGCGACUGGUGGAGGAGAUUCAAAGUUUUGCUUUUCAAUGGCAUCAAGAACCCACGAAACAGUACCAUCUCCACCACAGACAAGAACUCUGAAGUAUUGCACAUUACGAAAUAGCUCAAGUCCGACUUCAGGACCCUCAGAAGCACUGAGUUCGAAAACCUGGAAAAAAAAAAUUAAAGUUGGUGAAUCAAUAGAAAUAAAGCAUGUAUUAUAAAUAUGGUAGGUUGAUAUUCUACCAUUUAUCUGUAAUACAGGAAACACUUAUAUUGAAUAGCCUAUUAAGGUAAGGUCAUUAUGACAAUUGCAUCUUGGUUCUGUUGCGUAGUAACAUCCAGGAAAUGUGCUGCCAGGGAGGAUUUUAAUAACAAAAAUGAGAUGAUUCACCACUCCCAAGGCGUAUUUGUUAUGACCUAGUAACAAAUGUCCUAAAUUCUAGAAAAUGCCUCAUUUAUGUUGAGAAAAUACAUUCUUGAGGACUUCGGAUUAAUUAUUUAGUAGAGUAUCUUAUAUAAUCAUCUGAGAUACUCCAUAAAGUAGAUGUUUAUUGCAUAAUUGUAGUAAUUUUGUAAAUCCGUCAAUUACAAGGUGAAUUUUCAACAGACGAAACAGAAUGACAUGAAAGAAACAUAGUUUUCCAAUGCAACGUAUGUUAAGACAGCAGACCAUGUUAGACAACAAAAUAUAAACUAAAAGCCUGCAAGCUGAAGAGCACUGACCUGUACUGGAUUCAGCAGCAUGUUCAAUCUCCUUCGAAGAGAAGGGCCAUAUUGAGCUCCACUUUUGGCAUUAAUAAAAACAAGAAGUGGUCUUGCAUCUUGCUGUAAAUCUACCAGUUUAUAUUUCUUUUUGUCCCCAGUCCCAGUGGCACAACCAUUUUUCUGUUUAAGAGCACUUUCAGUCAACUUCAGAUUUGCCAACCCACUAUCAUUCUUUGGAGAGGGUACAAUGUUCUUCUGGUUCAAAUUCUGCAGUGCAACAAAUCCUCUAAGCAUAGAAUCAAGAGUUGAGCCGUUGCCAGAAGUCGGCGGCGAUUUACUGCUGGCAAUUCCGUAAAAAGAAGAAUGACUUUUAUUCCGGUUUUGUCGCCUUCUUAUCCGGCCUCUAACUGAUGAAGCAAUUAACCCUUCCUUUAUAGAGGUCAGCAUUCCGCCAUUUGCCAGUCCGUCAUCAACUUCUUUCACAGAGAGCGGUGAAAGAAUAAGCCUGCGUAGAGGACCCAGAUCACAAAUAUUACCUGCCUCCUUCAAUAGUUUGGCAUGACAAUCGACAUGAAUCAGACGCUGGCACCAUAGGCAACGCCAUAUAGGAGAAGCACUGAGAAAAGGUAUACCACAUGGUUCAUCACAGUAAUAGCAAAAGGAAGACGUCUCAAGGUUCCCAUCCAGGUCAACCCAUCUUUCCGACCAAUGAUGAACCAAGUGCGGAGAACCAGUUUGUGCUACACAUUUGCAGUCCUUCGUUGCAUUCGGAGAACAACGAAAAUGAGCUGCAACACCACAUACAGCGCAAUAAUGAAGAGGUACACUGUCCGCACCAUUUACACCAGGCGUUUGUGGAGAGACUAGUGAUGAUAGGCAAACACAACAUGUGGAAGCCUGACCGCUACGAAAAUAAUCCUCUUUCCAUGUGUGAUGCGAAGUGGGGCACUUUAACUUCUUCCAUACUUUCUUCUUUUCUCUAGCAGCAACCUUAACCCAGUUAAGGGACGCCUGCUUUUGCAAUUUAAGAAAAGUAUAAAGAAGCGCAAACAACCCAAACGAUCCCGCAGUUAGAAGACAUCCAAAAAUUUUAAGGCCAGAAGAAUCAAGCCCGUUUACAAGCUUGACGAGUAUAGAACCCAAAUCCAUAGCAACUAGCGGAAGUUAAUCAUCAACGGUGUAUGCUGCUAUUUGGAGAACUCAACACUGCCAAGUCAUUUGAGAAACCUGGGACCAGAAACGAACAGAUGUAGGAGCAUAUUAACAUUAACCAAAAAAAAAUGCAGAUGAUGAUGAAAUAACGAUAAUGAUCUAAUUCCAAAAACACUAAAAUCAACAGAUACAGCAAGAAGCUAUAUGACUUUUUUUAUAAAAAAAGGGCAUUCUACUGUGUACCAUGGAAUACCAAAUAAUGGCCAACAAUCAGAGGAAUUAAAUAGCAAACUACACUAUAUAGAAGUCAACAGAGGCGUCAAUUUGCCCUGGGUUGAAAAUUGAUUGCUGAUUUGUUCUUAUUUACAACAUCAGAAAUAUUGGGAGAUAAAACAUGUACAUGGAGUUACCAAUGAUCAGCUAUGCUGAAAAGAGGAAACAACCGCUAAAUUCUUCUCUUAUUAAGUGAGAAAAUUUCACACGUUAAACGAACUCAAUGGUCACCGACGGAAUAACAAUUUCUAAGUAAUUCAAUGGAAAAAGGAACACAUCCGAUAAAUGCCUAAUCCAUGCUAGCAAAACUAGAUCAACAGAUCAUAAGAGAAUCAAAAUAAACACAUCAGAACGCAUUCUCCGUCCAGAGAAAUCCAAAUUCUCCCAGAAUCCAAACGAAUCAAGCAACAGAAACCUUAAAGAACCGGAAAAAUCCCAAACAAUACCUAACCGCGUACAACUUCGAUGAAAACAAAAACACAUCGACAUAUCCAAUCAAAUCCAGCUGAGAUCACCCACAGAUCUCGCGAUCGCGAUCACAAAAUAAUCCACAAAAAAAAAAAAGCGUCAAGAGGCUCCACAUUACACAAAAUUAGAAUUAAAAAGAGAAGAUACGCACCUUCGCGAUCGGAUCAAGGGAGAUAACGGAGCAUUGAAGACCUAAAUCCCCCUAAUAUUCCCCGAUCUCUCUCGAUCUUUCUCGAUCUCUCUCGAAGAGGGAGGGUGGGGAAGGGGAGGAAACCCUAGCGCGUCGCCUUCGUCGUCCACGCCGAGUCGUCGUCGGCGAGGGAUUCGCUUUUUAAAGGGGGAGGGGACACGGCGGGGUUUUAAAGGAGGGGAAGCCCCGUAGAUUUGGUAUCCCGCCGUGAGCGACGCUUCGUUUCGUGGGUUUGCGGAGCCCACCACCUCCGACCGACCUUUUCGGGAAACUAUUUGCUACACCCGUUCUACGCCCUAUUUCGUAAACCGGACGAGUCAGAGAGCGACACGGAACUCUCUGGAGUUUUUUUCAUUUCGAUUGGGUGGGUCUAGGAAAGAGGAGUCCAUAGAAUAGGUUCUUUGAAUUUCUUUUCGAAGUGUCUUGUUGUUGUGGUGCACCGGAUUCUGUAGCGGGCCUUGGACCCGUUUAUGAAGACAGGAAAAGAUUCGGAAAAGGAAUCGGGGAAACCAAUGAGGAAAGGGACUCGGAUGUUGCUAUGAAGGGUAAAAGUGGAAUUUGAUAAUUUACUCCUAUACUUAACCUAAUAAAAAAAAAAUUGCAUAAAAAAUUGGCCAAUUUGCAUAAAAAAUUCACUUAUUUUGGGCUUUUGCAAAAUCGGGCCAUCUUUUUGGCUUUUGUAGAUUCGGUCCGCUUUUUCAACAAACUGACCAAAAUACCCUUAUACCUUUUUCUCUUUCCUCUUUCUCUCUCCUCUUUUUUUCUCUCGUUCUUUUUUCUUUUUCUUCCCAGAGAGCGGCGAAGACGGAGCGGAGGUGCCCUUAUACCUUUUUCUUUUCUCUUUUUUCUCUCGUUUUUUUUUUUCUCUCUUCCCAGAGAGCGGCGAAGACAGAGCGGUGUCGCCGCCGGCGCCCCCACCUUCCUCGCCUCCGAUGCCCCUAAGGCCGGGCUGUGACUUUUUUUUUUUUUGCAUUUUUCUUUUCUUUUCUUCUUUGACUCUCCUCCACAGUUUCCGACGACGGUGCCUCUCUCGCUCUUCCCUGCCCUUUCCGUCUCUCCUUCUCCUUCCUUCUCUGCUGCCUCCGACGACGAUGCAUCUUCGCCGACACCGACGCCGACACCGUGGAGAUCACUGCGGCGCUGCAGCCUCGGAGUGGGGGGUCUUUAGCGGCGUCGUCACCGACACCGUGGCUAUUGACAGAGAGGGUGACAAAAAAAAAACAAAAAAAUAAAGAUAAAAAAUUAUAUAAAAAAAAGGAUGAAGAUGAAAUUGUAUCGUUCACUACAAAAAAAUUACAAGUUGCACUACUUAAGGCGUAAACUGCAGCUUUAAAAUAAAAAUUGCACUUUUAAAAUGAAAAUUACACUCUUUGAAAGAUAUUUACACUGUUUCUCUUCUUAUUGCACUCUUUCAGAUAUAAACUGCACCCACUAAGAUAAAAAUUACACUCUUUAAAUGAAAGUUGCACUGUUUCUCCUCUUGUUGCACCGUUUUUCCUCUUGUUGCAUCAUUUCUCCUCUUGUUGUACUGUUUCUCCUCUUGUUGCACUGUUUCUCCUCUUUAAAGAGAAGAAACAGUGCAACAAGAGGAGAAGCAGUAUAAAUAUCUGUUAAAGAUGUGUAGUUUAAAAUAAAAAAUAGCGCAAUAAGAGGAGAAAUGGUGCAACAAGAAAAAAAACUGCACCUAUUUAUCUUAAACUGCACUCAUUUAAGAGAUAUAUAUACCGCUUCUCCUCUUGUUGCACUGUUUUUUCUCUUGUUGCACUGUUUCUCCUCUUUAAAGAGGAGAGAAACAGUGCAACAAGAGGAAAAACAGUGCAACAAGAGGAGAAGCGGUAUAUAUAUCUCUUAAAUGAGUGCAGUUUAAAAUAAAAAACAGUGUAACAAGAGAAAAAAUGGUGCAACAAGAAAAAAAACUGUACCCAUUUAUCUUAAACUGCACCCAUUUAAGAGAUAUUUAUACUGCUUAUCCUCUUGUUGCACUGUUUCUCCUCUUGUUGCACUGUUUCUCCUCUUUAAAGAAGAGAAACAGUGCAACAAGAGGAGAAACAGUGCAACAAAAGUAAAGCAACUAUAAAUAUCUUUAACAGAUGUUAGUUAUAAAUAAAAAACAGGUAACAAGAGAAAAAAUGGUGCAACAAUACAAAAAACUGCACCCAAUUUAUCUUAAACUGGCACCCAUUUAAGAGAUAUUUAUACUAACUAUUCUCUCUUGUUGCACUGUUUCUCCUCUGUGCACUGUUUCUCAACUCUUUACCACAAGAGGCCAAAACAGUGCAAACAAGAGGAAAACAGUGCAAACAAGAGGAAAUGUAGUAAUAUAUAUCUGUAAAGAUGUGCAGUUUAUAAUAAAAACAGUCACCCCUUUUCGCCGCGGCCUCUGCGCUGCGGCGAGGGAUCGGCUGGGUGCGCGGCGACGCGCGUCUGCGAACGUCGUCAGGGAGAAGCAUAAGCCGCUGUCGGGCGCUUCUGCGCGACGGCAGAGGAGGUCAGCGCCGACGGAGAAAAAGCACGCGCGGCGCUGGUGCCGCAGGCCGCGUUACCUUCCACCCUCGCCCCUCCUGCGCCCUUCGCUUGGUCUCCUCCCCUCUUCUCUUCGCCGUUGCCGUUCUUCUCCGCAUCCAGCCCGGACCCGUUCCCGCGUGCCGUCGCUGCGCGCGGCGAUGGAUAGGCUGGGUCCGGGGCGGCGGAGGAGCAGGAGGAGGGGUCGCGAGCGUGGAAUGAGGGUGAGAGGAGCCGGUUGAAAAAGGAUGGUAGUGAGGGAAAGGCCGCUCGGGAGAUGGUUAAAGGAAGAAGCGACGGUCCGCCUUUUUUUUUCAGGACGAGAAAAAAAUAAAAAAAAAAAACGACAGUAACGAAGAGGAGAGAGAAAGAGGAAAGAGAAAAAAUAAUAAAGGUAUUUUGGUCAGUUUGCUGAAAAAGCGGACCGAAUAUACAAAAACGAAAAAGGUGACCCGAUUUUGCAAAAGCCCAAAAUAAGUGGAUUUUUUAUGCAAAAAGGCCUAAAAAAUUUGCUAACUUUAAAAUAUUACAAGAAUAGACCAUUUUUUAUUUUUACAUAUUCAGUUCGAAAUUUUUUUAAAUGAUCAAAAUAUUCUUAUUUUCUCUCUCUUUGCUUGCUUUCUUUUUCCUUUUGUUUUUUUAUCACUCCACCACUUUCACAU
rnacentral:lncRNA from 1 species